UAACCAUUCAAGCCUGGCUUGGUGUUGGGCGACGUCCCCUUUGGGGACGCGCCUCGAAACGCUCGGCGGCGUGGCACCGGCUUUAAGCGUAGCAGAAUCUUUCGCUUUGAAAGUCGGGGCCCCGUCUGCCGGAAGACCUACUCACAA
rnacentral:misc_RNA from 1 species